rnacentral:rRNA from 1 species
CUCUACAAUGCACGCAAGUGUGAUAGGGUAACCCUUCGUGCUUAUCCACAAGAUAGGCUUUUGUUAAGUUUAGUGAGCUUAACGAAUAAGUGGUGGGCAAGACCGGUGCCAGCAGCCGCGGUAAUACCGGCGCCACAAGUGGAGAUCACUAUUAUUGGGUCUAAAGUGUUCGUAGCUGGUUUCGUAAGUCUCUUGUGAAAUACCUGUAGCUCAACUCAGGAACUGCAAGAGAUACUGCGAGACUUGAAACCGGGAGAGACAAAGAGUAUUGCUUGGGUAGCGGUAAAAUGCUAUAAUCCUUGCAAGACUAACUAUGGCGAAGGCACUUUGUUUGAACGGAUUUGACAGUGAGGAACGAGAGCUGGGGGAGCGAACCGGAUUAGAUACCCCCGUAGU